AGGUGCGAUCAUACCAACACUAAUGCACCAGAUCACAUCAGAACUCUGCAGGUAAUCGUGCUUGGUCGAGAAUAGUACUAGGAUGGGUGACCUCCUCGGAAGUCCUCGUGUUGCACUAC
rnacentral:rRNA from 1 species